rnacentral:RNase_P_RNA from 1 species
CGAACAAUCGCGUAUAAGUUUUUCUUAUAUGAGGAAAGUCCGGACACCUUAGGGCAGAACGACGGAUAACGUCCGCCGAGGGCAACCUUAGGACUAGUGCCACAGAAAAGUAAACAACCUUAUUUAUUAGGUUCAGGUGCAACGGUAGUGUAAAAGACUACCAGAGGUAUUGAAAAAUACCUGCUCGGUAAACUCCGUUCGGGUGCAAGAUUGAAUUAAAGGUUAAGGUGACCCGCCGUCUUUAGAAAAAUCGCUUGAGCUAUAGGGCAACCUAUUUCCCAGACAGAUGAUUGUUUAGAAACAGAAUCCGGCUUAUGAACUGCU